rnacentral:rRNA from 1 species
UACGUAGGGUGCUAGCGUUGUUCGGAAUCAUUGGGCGUAAAGCGCGUGUAGGCGGUUAGGUAAGUCGGGUGUGAAAGCCCUGAGCUCCACUCAGGAAGUGCAUUCGAAACUGCCUAGCUAGAGGACGGUAGAGGAAGGUGGAAUUCCUAGUGUAGAGGUGAAAUUCGUAGAUAUUAGGAGGAAUACCGGUGGCGAAGGCGGCCUUCUGGGCCGAUUCUGACGCUGAGACGCGAAAGCGUGGGUAGCAAACAGG